rnacentral:rRNA from 1 species
UUUGGCACGAGUUGUAGAGUGUAGGCGGGAGUCUUUGUGGAGCACGGUGUCCAAGUCCCUUGGAACAGGGCGCCUGAGAGGGUGAGAGCCCCGUGGGGUGCCGUGCGAAGCUGUGAGGCCCUGCUGACGAGUCGAGUUGUUUGGGAAUGCAGCUCCAAGUGGGUGGUAAAUUCCAUCUAAGGCUAAAUACUGGCGAGAGACCGAUAGCGAACAAGUACUGUGAAGGAAAGAUGAAAAGCACUUUGAAAAGAGAGUGAAACAGCACGUGAAAUUGUUGAAAGGGAAGGGUAUUGGGCCCGACAUGGGGAGUGCGCACCGCUGUCUCUUGUAGGCGGCGCUCUGGGCGCUCUCUGGGCCAGCAUCGGUUUUUGCUGCGGGAGAAUGGGUGCCGGAAAGUGGCUCUUCGGAGUGUUAUAGCCGGCGCCAGAUACCGCGUGCGGGGACCGAGGACUGCGGCU